rnacentral:misc_RNA from 1 species
CUUCCAACAGCAAACUUAUUCUCUGGGAAUAGAACAAGAAAACAAUAAAUCCUUUUGCAGUUACAAUAAUAACAUGAAGAAACCUAGAUAUAGUCUAUAAGAGCAGGCAUACUCUAUAAACAAUAAUGAGGAAGUUGGUGUUAAAAUUCACCAUGACUGCUAGGUAUUACCAAUACAACUCCAAACAUGCUAUGAUUAUUAAAUCAUGAAACCAAUAAAGAUAGAUAUAUAAAUGUGAGUAACACAUAUAUUUUUCCUAAGUAUGGCACACAAUAUGAUUAUAAAUCAUGAAACCAAGAAAGAUAGGCACAAAGUCCAUAGCUUUUCUUAGAAAAUAAAACAAGUGAGAAUAGGUAAACUUACCAUUUUCAU